UACGAAGGGUGCAAACGUUUGCUCGGAAUCAUUGGGCGUAAAGCGCACGUAGGCGGCUUUGCAAGUCGGAUGUGAAAUCCCUCGGCUCAACCAAGGAAGUGCAUCCGAAACUGCAGAGCUUGAGUACUUAAGAGGAUCGCGGAAUUCCCGGUGUAGAGGUGAAAUUCGUAGAUAUCAGGAGGAACACCGGUGGCGAAGGCGGGGUCUCUGGGCAGUAACUGACGCUGAGGAGCGAAAGCGUGGGGAGCGAACAGG
rnacentral:rRNA from 1 species